UCUUGUGCCUGGUUAAUUCCUGCCCCCGGAGAGAGUGACAUAAGCGUAUCACUUGAACUUGGAAAUUCUUAGCUACAGUAGAUCUAAAACUGAUAAGGUGUCUGUCUGCACUAACUCUGACAUCAAUAUGGUGAGCCCUCUGGAGCAGGGUGGCCACCAGGUUGUCUAAGGAGGGGCAAACUGGCCCAAGUUAGAAAUGGAUCAGGUCAAAGCUUCUGUGCUGAUCAGUAAUGAGGUCAGUCCUGUGAUUAGCCGUUGAACUUCCAGCCUGGGUAAUGUAGUGAUACCUAGUCUCAA
ensembl:misc_RNA Metazoa_SRP Metazoan signal recognition particle RNA